rnacentral:rRNA from 2 species
UGACCUCAAAUCGGGUGAGACUACCCGCUGAACUUAAGCAUAUCAAUAAGCGGAGGAA